rnacentral:rRNA from 1 species
GCAAGCAGUAAGACCUGUUAGAAAGAUAUUUCACAGGGGCGGGCCUGGUUAGUACUUGGAUGGGAGACCACCUAGGAAGACCAGGUGCUGUAGGCA